GGCUCUUUGUCUCCCCUCAUCCAGGUCACUAACUCGCUCCUCACUAAGUUACCCCCACUAACUCUGCUUAUAGCUUUUCUAAUGCCUGAUAUAAGAGGCACGAGGUUCCCCUCACUUCCCUUUACUAUCCCUAAUGCUUGGAGUUGUCUGAUACCCUAUGGAUACCGUACAGUCCGACCGCCUCCACCUUGUGAGGAGAAUGAUGAUGCGUCCCGAUGGAGCAUGAGAAGAACGAGCAGAAAUCCUACAAAGGCCUCACAGGGCUGAGACGACAUCUGCUUCUCCUCCUGCCGCAGGACAGACGACCAGACAACUAAAUGAAACUGGACUAUUCGUUUAAAUUAUGAGAAGAGCGGUGUCUGUAUCCUUCACUCAUAGAUAUAUUGUUGGGCUGCCCGUACUUGAUGCAGCCGGCAGCAGGAUCCGCAUGCGGCUCACUGCAACGUGCUUCAAAUAGCUUGUAGAGGCGCGGCCCAGCAAUUAGCAGUGAGCCUGAGGAUCCCGCUGCUGUCCCCACAUUGUGUACGGGAAGCCCAACAGGUCUGGACAAGAUGAUAUCAGUGACGUCAGCACCAGGCGGAGUUGAGACAACUUCCCGUUCAUUGACACAGUGACGUAGCUAGAAAUGA